UGGGGAAUCUUGCACAAUGGGGGCAACCCUGAUGCAGCGACGCCGCGUGAGCGAUGAAGCCCUUCGGGGCGUAAAACUCUUUCGACCGGAACGAUAAUGACGGUACCGGGAGAAGAAGCUGCGGCUAACUACGUGCCAGCAGCCGCGGUAAUACGUAGGCAGCAAGCGUUGUUCGGAGUUACUGGGCGUAAAGAGUGCGUAGGCGGUUUUCUAAGUUCGGUGUGAAAUCUCCCGGCUUAACUGGGAGGGUGCGCCGAAGACUGGGAAGCUGGAGUGUGGGAAAGGCAGGCGGAAUUCCUGGUGUAGCGGUGAAAUGCGUAGAUAUCAGGAGGAACACCUGCGGUGUAGACGGCUUGCUAGACCAUAACUGACGCUGAGGCACGAAAGCGUGGGUAGCAAACA
rnacentral:rRNA from 1 species